UCCACGACUCCGCCAUUGAAAGCUUUUCACUCAGUGACGGGGAGACCUUUGUUUCAAACAGAUAGAAAUGGAAAUAUUAGGGCCCGGGUAAGCGAGUAAACAGCGUUCUGAUUCCAGCAGUCACUGGGUUGUCAAUGUAGACACAGAAAUCAUCAUUGACUCGGGGCAAGUACAUGAAGGGAUCAGUUUCAAGCUGAUGAUUGCCCCAGCCAAAUUAAAAUGCAGGCGUCUCCUUCUAACUGACAGUAGGUAUGAUAUUACUCACAGAAUGCUGAGAUACAAACAGAACAUCAUUUCCACCAUCACCACGAACUGUAAUAUUCAGAGUCAAAUUGAAGUCAUACCAGAUACAUGUGCUCAAUUCAAUAGUCAAACAGUCAGAGGCGGACGGGGUUGAGGAGAUGGUUGGAACAAUCACAAUGCACUCCUACUCAGUAACUCUGAAUGGCAGGUCCACCAAUUUCAGUCCAAACUCACAGCCAUUAUCAGAUUGAAGUGUACUCCAUGCAUGUCACAAGAAUGGACCAUUGGCUGCAAUUUAAAUAUCAGGUAAUAAAGCUGAUUGAAAUUUA